UACGAAGGGGGCUAGCGUUGUUCGGAUUUACUGGGCGUAAAGCGCACGUAGGCGGAUGGUUAAGUCAGGGGUGAAAUCCCAGAGCUCAACUCUGGAACUGCCUUUGAUACUGGCCAUCUUGAGUCCGGAAGAGGUGAGUGGAACUCCUAGUGUAGAGGUGGAAUUCGUAGAUAUUAGGAAGAACACCAGUGGCGAAGGCGGCUCACUGGUCCGGUACUGACGCUGAGGUGCGAAAGCGUGGGGAGCAAACAGGAUUAGAAACCCCCGUAGUCC
rnacentral:rRNA from 1 species